rnacentral:rRNA from 1 species
GACGGAGGGUGCAAACGUUGCUCGGAAUCACUGGGCAUAAAGCGCACGUAGGCGGCCAACUCAGUUGGAUGUGAAAUCCCCCGGCUCAACCGGGGAACGGCAUCCAAUACUGGUUGGCUCGAGGACGGUAGGGGUGAGUGGAACUCCAGGUGGAGCGGUGAAAUGCGUAGAUAUCUGGAGGAACACCGGUGGCGAAAGCGGCUCACUGGACCGUCUCUGACGCUGAGGUGCGAAAGCCAGGGUAGCGAACGGG